UACGUAGGGUGCAAGCGUUGUCCGGAAUUAUUGGGCGUAAAGAGCUCGUAGGCGGUUUGUCGCGUCGAAUGUGAAAACCCGGGGCUCAACCCCGGGCCUGCAUUCGAUACGGGCAGACUAGAGUUCGGUAGGGGAGUCUGGAAUUCCUGGUGUAGCGGUGAAAUGCGCAGAUAUCAGGAGGAACACCGGUGGCGAAGGCGGGACUCUGGGCCGAUACUGACGCUCAGGCACGAAAGCAUGGGGAUCAAACAGG
rnacentral:rRNA from 1 species